AUGUUGAGUACUCAAUGAUUCUAGUUGAAAGAAAGAAAAAAGGAAGGAAGAAAGGAGGAAGAGGCAGGCACAAGACAAAAUGAAUCUCUCCGCUGUGCACAUGGAGCCUUAGCUCUGAUUCCAGUUGAGCAAAAUUAUGAAGAAGAUGAUUCCCCAUAUGGAUGACAGAUAAACACCCUGUGGCGAGUCACUCACUCCCGAAAGGCCCUCUGAAGGAUCGCGCAUGUCCUGACUGCACAGCCUGCUCCUGAAUAAAUGGAUGUUACUACUACUAGUACUGCUUCUGCUGCCAAGUUUUUGAGCACAUAACCAGGAUGACAACCACAGUUCCACAAAGCUCUGAUAAAACAUCAAAAAGAAACUCACCACCAAGGAAACCAGAGAAUCCUUUCUUGUCUUGAGUGAAUGGCAAUGAUCUUGGUGGCCAAGAUAAUAAAUACACGUUUAUUAUAUUGAAAAA
rnacentral:lncRNA from 1 species